rnacentral:rRNA from 1 species
CUACAUGAAGCUGGAGGUACUAGUAAUCGCAGAUCAGAAUGCUGCGGUGAAUGCGUUCCCGGGUCUUGUACACACCGCCCGUCACACCACGGGAGUUGGAGACGCCCGAAGCCGAUUAUCUAACCUUGUGGAAGAAGUCGUCGAAGGUGGAAUCAAUAACUGGGGUGAAGUCGUAACAAGGUAGCCGUAUCGGAAGGUGCGGCUGGAUCACCUCCUUUCUAAGGAGA